ACAUGGACAGGUGAGAUACAGGUGAGAGACAGGUGAGACAUGGACAGGUGAGACAUGGACAGGUGAGACAGGUGAGACAUGGACAGGUG
rnacentral:lncRNA from 1 species